rnacentral:rRNA from 1 species
UUUGCUACUUAUGCUAUCUGGGGGAUGGCUUGGCUUGAGUUGCCUAUGAAGGUCGUGGUAAGCUGCGAUAAGCUUGGGCGAGGAGCAUACAUCUUUGGAACCCAAGAUUGCCUAAUGGGACUUCCUAGCACAUUUUUUUGUGUUGAUCCGUGUAGGAUUGGGAACCCGCCGAAUUGAAACAUCUUAGUAGGCGGAGGAAAAGAAAGCAAUAUGCGAUGUCGUUAGUAACGGCGAGCGAAAUCGACUUAGAACAAACUGAAUCCCUUUUAGUAAUAUUAGGGAGAUGUGGUGUAUAGACAUACUUUUAGGCCUCGUGGGAUAAAUCGAAUUUUAUUUGGAAUUUUAGAACCGUAGAGGGUGAUAGUCCCGUAGAUAUAUUCUCUUUUUGAGGUUUUGUGUAUGAUUUUUUCUUGAGUAGGAUCCGUUGGAUAUCGGGUUUGAAUGUGGGAGGCAUCAACUUCCAAUUCUAAAUACGUCUCAAGACCGAUAGAGUAUUAGUACCGUGAGGGAAUGCUGAAAAGUACCCCUAUAGGGGGGUGAAAAGUACCUGAAACCAGAUAGUGACAGCCAGAUGUGGCGCGUAAGGAAUGAAUUCUUCCGAAAGAAUCAGUGGUAACAUUGUAGUAUGAGGAGGUUGGACUAGUGUUGCAUCGUCCGUCUUGAAACACGGGCCAGGGAGUUCUUUGUUGUGGUGAGGCUAAAAGGUUUUUAUCCUUGUAGUCGUAGGGAAACCGAUAUGCCCGCAGCGUUGUUGAGGGGCAAGGUCUUAAUAGGGCCUGGAAUCACAGCAUUGAAACCCGAAGCCGGUCGAUCUAUUCCUGAGCAGGAUGAAGUCGCUCUUACGAGCGAUGGAGGUUCGCGGCGACAGCUGGUUCCACUCGAAAUGACUCUAAGGUCAGCCUGACUGGAGGUUGGUGGCGGGGUAGAGCACUAAUUGGACGUUUAGGGAGGGAAACUUCUCGGCGUACUGUAAAACUCCGAACUCGUCACCGUCGUAGAAGGUUGGAGUGAGGGGCGCGGGGUAAGCUUGUGUCCCGAAAGAGAAACAACUCAGACUAUGGUUAAGGCCCCUAAAUACUGGAUAAGUGUAAGGGAGUCUUUGGCCCAAGACAAUGGGAAGGUGGGCUUAGAAGCAGCCACCCUUUAACGAGUUCGUAACAGAUCACCCAUCGAGGUCAGAGGCACCUAAAAUGGACGGGAAUUAAUCCAGUUGCCGAUACCAUGGAACACCUUUUUUUUGGUGAUUGUGUAGAGUGGCGACCUGUGUGGGUUGAAGAGGGGGCGUGAGUUCCUUUGGACCUUGCAGGUAUGUGGAUCCUGGUAGUAGUAGCAGCAAAGUGAGGUGAGAAUCCUUACCGCCGGAGGGGCUAGGGUUCCUUGGCAAUGUUCGUCAGCCAAGGGUUAGUCGAUCCUAAGGUCAGUCAUAAGUUGAGCUGGUCGAAAGGGAAGCAGGUUAAUAUUCCUGUACAUAGUAAAUUUGCGGUGACGUUGAGGGCUAAUUUCUGACACUUCGAGAUAUGUUUUGUAGGAUUGUCGUCCUAUUUACGUGUUUAAGCCUGGGGAGAGGUGUAAUAGCGAGAACCAGGUGUAGGCAUUAUGAGCUGGUCGUUUUUGUACUGGUUUAACUGAUUCAUGGAGUCCUUGAAAAGGGAGUUAGUUUUGUAUUUUACUAUUUCGUACCGAGAUCCGUCACAGGUGCCCCUAGCUGAGUAGGCUAAGGCGUUUUAAGGUAAACUAGCUAAGGGAAAUCGGCAAAAUGGCCCCGUAACUUUGGAAGAAGGGGUGCCAGCUAUGUGAAUAGCUGGUCUCAGUGACUAGGGGGGCCCGACUGUUUAAUAAAAACAUAGCUCUCUGCUAGCCCGUAAGGGUGUGUACAGAGGGCGACACCUGCCCAGUGCUGGCACGUGAAGCUGGAGUUCAGUUCAGUGAAGCGCCAGUAAACGGCGGGGGUAACUAUAACCCUCUUAAGGUAGCGAAAUGCCUUGUCGGACAAGUACCGACCUGCAUGAAUGGUAG